UAGGGAAUCUUCCGCAAUGGGCGAAAGCCUGACGGAGCAACGCCGCGUGAGUGAUGAAGGUCUUCGGAUCGUAAAACUCUGUUAUUAGGGAAGAACAAAUGUGUAAGUAACUAUGCACAUCUUGACGGUACCUAAUCAGAAAGCCACGGCUAACUACGUGCCAGCAGCCGCGGUAAUACGUAGGUGGCAAGCGUUAUCCGGAAUUAUUGGGCGUAAAGCGCGCGUAGGCGGUUUUUUAAGUCUGAUGUGAAAGCCCACGGCUCAACCGUGGAGGGUCAUUGGAAACUGGAAAACUUGAGUGCAGAAGAGGAAAGUGGAAUUCCAUGUGUAGCGGUGAAAUGCGCAGAGAUAUGGAGGAACACCAGUGGCGAAGGCGACUCUCUGGUCUGUAACUGACGCUGAGGCUCGAAAGCGUGGGUAGCAAACAGG
rnacentral:rRNA from 1 species